rnacentral:rRNA from 1 species
CGGACGGGUGAGUAAUGUCUGGGAAACUGCCCGAUGGAAGGGGAUAACUACUGGAAACGGUAGCUAAUACCGCAUAACGUCGCAAGACCAAAGAGGGGGACCUUCGGGCCUCUUGCCAUCGGAUGUGCCCAGAUGGGAUUAGCUAGUAGGUGGGGUAACGGCUCACCUAGGCGACGAUCCCUAGCUGGUCUGAGAGGAUGACCAGCCACACUGGAACUGAGACACGGUCCAG